rnacentral:rRNA from 1 species
ACAGUGGCGGACGGGUGAGUAACGCGUAGGAAUCUACCUUCAGGUGGGGGACAACUCGGGGAAACUCGAGCUAAUACCGCAUAAUACCUAAGGGUCAAAGUGGGGGAUCUUCGGACCUCACGCCAGAAGAGGAGCCUGCGUUGGAUUAGUUAGUUGGUGGGGUAAUGGCCUACCAAGGCGACGAUCUAUAGCUGGUCUGAGAGGACGAUCAGCCACACUGGAACUGAGGCACGGUCCAG